rnacentral:rRNA from 1 species
CGGACGGGUGAGUAAUGCUUGGGAAUCUGGCUUAUGGAGGGGGAUAACUACGGGAAACUGUAGCUAAUACCGCGUAGUAUCGGAAGAUGAAAGUGUGGGACCGCAAGGCCACAUGCCAUAAGAUGAGCCCAAGUGGGAUUAGGUAGUUGGUGGGGUAAAGGCCUACCAAGCCGACGAUCUCUAGCUGGUCUGAGAGGAUGACCAGCCACACUGGAACUGAGACACGGUCCAGACUCCUACGGGAGGCAGCAGUGGGGAAUAUUGCGCAAUGGGGGGAACCCUGACGCAGCCAUGCCGCGUGAAUGAAGAAGGCCUUCGGGUUGUAAAGUUCUUUCGGUGAUGAGGAAGGUGUUUGUUUUAAUAGAGCAAGCAAUUGACGUUAGUCACAGAAGAAGCACCGGCUAACUCCGUGCCAGCAGCCGCGGUAAUACGGAGGGUGCGAGCGUUAAUCGGAAUAACUGGGCGUAAAGGGCACGCACGCGGUGACUUAAGUGAGAUGUGAAAUCCCCGAGCUUAACUUGGGAACUGCAUUUCAGACUGGGUUGCU